rnacentral:rRNA from 1 species
UACGUAGGGGGCAAGCGUUGUCCGGAUUUAUUGGGCGUAAAGAGCGUGUAGGCGGCCAUACAGGUCAGCUGUGAAAACUCGAGGCUCAACCUCGAGACGUCGGUUGAAACCGUCUGGCUAGAGUCCGGAAGAGGAGAGUGGAAUUCCCGGUGUAGCGGUGAAAUGCGCAGAUAUCGGGAAGAACACCCGUGGCGAAGGCGGCUCUCUGGGACGGUACUGACGCUGAGACGCGAAAGCGUGGGGAGCGAACAGG